UUGACCGAAGCGACCUUCUCAUUGUGCUCGACCAUUGGCGCCACUGACGUCUCUCGACAAUUUAGCAGGUUAACAGGGGUUUUCUCAUUAAUCGCAUUGCGGCAUGAAAAGAAAACGUUCCACGAUUAACCUCGAAAGCCCGCGCCGCCGCGGAAUGAAAGUAUAACGUAUAAAAUUCGAAAAAGAAUUUUUCAUCGAACCUCCAACCCGAUGCUACGCAAGGUGGUGAUGUUUCGGCGGAAGAUCAACCAUAUGGAUACAGGCCCGGAUUGAUAAGAACGAUCCGAAGUGAUUUCUCCGUUGCGAUAAAUACCAGCAUUGUAGAACGGGAUCUACGGUAUUACAGAUUUUAUGGUGGGAUCGGUCGGCGGUUAUCUUCAACACGUCGAACGCCGCACGAUUUCAUAGAGUAAAAUACGGAAAAUGGUGAAGAUAAUCGCCGUUUAAUUGGACUACAGUGAUUCGAUUCGGCCGGGGGUCACCGGUCAUGGCAUUCAACGUGUUAAUUAACCCCCUGCACUCGAAAGUUUUUCACUCGAAGCAUUCCAUACUUUCUAAUUAGACGUCGACGAGAUCCUUCGAAACGAGUGUAACAAGAAACCAUACAUAAGUUAGGCAACAAAGCUAUUUUCCUUCAAAUUCCACUGGUACGCGAUAUCGGUGCGGUACGCAAAGGUUGACGAAUAGAAAUUUACACGGACAAAAUUCGGUGAGAAGGAAGAAGGAAGGAGAAGGAGUACCGGUGGAGAAUCUGUGGGCAAGGGGACACGGGUGUGGAAUGUCGGAGGAGCAGGGGAGCGCGGGGGGAGACAUUAGAUGUGGGUCCGGAAAGGUGGAGGAUUCGAUCUCGCCGCUCCGCGAGCGGAACCCCGCCUUCGGACGAUCGAUCGAUCGUUGGACCGGACGGAUCGGCUGGAAGAGAGGAGAAUGGUCCGAGGAAACAGGCUCUCUUUUGCUGGCAAUGAUCUUGAAAGCCGAGGCGUUUGCGUUUCGUUCGAAAUCGAGGUUGAACGGACCACGGUUCGGACGCCGGAUACGGUGUCGGCGUUUCGGACGCAUCAGCGUGGCCGACGAUUCUUGGAAUUCCACGCGGGGAAACGAGGGAACCGACAGGCGUAAGAGAGUUUCAGGAAGGGGAUGAGAAAGAGGGAAGCGUAGGAACGUAGGCGAAGGUGGACGAGGGUGGAGCCGAGGAUGCAAGAAAAGGAAAGGAUUUCGUCAGCAUUCUGUCGGCGCGGUGCAACUAUUUUCCCAUUCGUUGAAUGGACCACUCCUGCUGGCACAGGGGACAACGGUUACUCUGCUUCACCCAGAGAGACAUGCAGCAGUAAUGGAAAGAAUGAUUGCACUCUCCCCAAACGACCACGCAGUCCUGUUGCCGGCCGUAGAAGUCCUUCUUACUCUCCGCUUGGCAUCGCAGGCACGCGUCUGGAAAAUGAGAAACGAAUCAGAUGAUAAACAAAGGAGCAGCGGUUUCGUUUGUCCUUUAGUCGCUAAUCCGUCGCCUCUCCGUUUGAACAGCUGUGCGACGUUAAAUGACUAAUUCGUCGGAAAAGUUAACGAACGCGUUUCGCCACGCUGGAUGCAGGAAUCAAUUGAGGUCCGCGCGAGCUGGAAGAUGAAAAGGGCAGGAAAUCUAACUGCUUCGUAACGCAACUCCGUAAUCUGUGAUCUCGCCGAGAAAAUCAGGAUUCUGAUUGGUGGUAUUCAAUUUGUCGCGUCUUUUCCAUUGGUCUCGCGGUUAUAGUUUCGUCUAAUGAAACCAAAUGCGGAGCUACUAAUCACGAUGUUUCAGAUUCGUUAAACUGGAGGCGCCGGUCAGGGGAAUAUCUGCUCCGUCGCUCGGAUUCGAUCCGUGUCUUCCGAACGUGAUACGGAAUAUAAAAUGCGAACAGUUACAGCGGAAUAUUUGAUCGAAAGAGGGUCGAACACAACAGAUUGAUCGACGACGACGACGAGAACUCCAAAGAAACAAUCUGUUGGAUUAAUAGCCGCCGUUCGCGAU